AAAGACCUUAUGUUUUCGGAGCGGCCGAUGUCUGAUUAGCUAGUUGGUAAGGUAAUGGCUUACCAAGGCGACGAUCAGUAGUUGGUCUGAGAGGACGGCCAGCCACACUGGGACUGAGACACGGCCCAGACUCCUACGGGAGGCAGCAGUGGGGAAUUUUGGACAAUGGGCGCAAGCCUGAUCCAGCAAUGCCGCGUGAGUGAAGAAGGCCUUCGGGUUGUAAAGCUCUUUCAGUUGAAAAGAAAAGAUCGUGACUAAAAUUCAUGAUUCAUGACGGUAUCAACAGAAGAAGCACCGGCUAACUACGUGCCAGCAGCCGCGGUAAUACGUAGGGUGCAAGCGUUAAUCGGAAUUACUGGGCGUAAAGGGUGCGCAGGCGGUUCUGUAAGUCAGAUGUGAAAUCCCCGGGCUUAACCUGGGAACU
rnacentral:rRNA from 1 species